AUCUGCAGCUCUUGAAGAGGAUGAAGAUGAGAAGCAGAUCUAUAACAAGGAACAAGGCUAGGACGUCCAGGCUGUGGUACUGGUACCAGGUCUGCCACAUGCUGCUGACCCAGACUUCCCUUCCCUGACUUUUGAUGCUAGCAACACAACAAAUCUUGAUGUCUGGGAGAACCAACAUCACAGCUUUUAGAUGUUCUGGUGCCUCUAGAGGGCGCCAGAGCUCUUCAGCAGGAGUCAAUGGAGGGGAAACAAUAAACCAGAACAAGUUGGGGUUGGAUCUGAAGAUGCUCCACUGACAGUGUGGUCUGCCAAACCCUGGGAACGUUUUGACAGGAUAUUAAGAGAACUGCAACCACCGAAGAAAGCAGGGAACCUUUGAGAGAGUUGGACGGAGCACAGGAUUUUUGAACCCUGAUGAUGAAGAAAGUGUUACAGCAGGAGGAUCGAUGAAGGCAGGGAUCUCUGUUGGUGUGAUGAGCUUUCGUCUCUCCAUGGAUGCAGCUGACAAGAGAAGUGUGAUUUGAAGCCAUAUGUUGUGGGGCUGGCGGAUUGGUCCCCAUGCAGGACAGUCUUCGGUUCUGUGGCCCCGGCUCUUCUUCAGCUGCAGAGUUCUUUGUCCAUCAUGAUUUUUGCUUGAUGUUAAUAAA